GAUGAACGCUAGCUACAGGCUUAACACAUGCAAGUCGAGGGGCAGCAUGAACUUAGCUUGCUAAGUUUGAUGGCGACCGGCGCACGGGUGAGUAACACGUAUCCAACCUGCCGAUGACUCGGGGAUAGCCUUUCGAAAGAAAGAUUAAUACCCGAUGGCAUAGUUCUUCCGCAUGGUAGAGCUAUUAAAGAAUUUCGGUCAUCGAUGGGGAUGCGUUCCAUUAGGUUGUUGGCGGGGUAACGGCCCACCAAGCCUUCGAUGGAUAGGGGUUCUGAGAGGAAGGUCCCCCACAUUGGAACUGAGACACGGUCCAAACUCCGACGGGAGGCAGCAGUGAGGAAUAUUGGGCAAUGGACGAGAGUCUGAACCAGCCAAGUAGCGUGAAGGAUGACUGCCCUAUGGGUUGUAAACUUCUUUUAUACGGGAAUAAAGUGAGGCACGUGUGCCUUUUUGUAUGUACCGUAUGAAUAAGGAUCGGCUAACUCCGUG
rnacentral:rRNA from 1 species